CCUACGGGGGGCAGCAGUGGGGAAUAUUGGGCAAUGGACGCAAGUCUGACCCAGCAACGCCGCGUGAAGGAAGAAGGCUUUCGGGUUGUAAACUUCUUUUAAGGGGGAAGAGCAGAAGACGGUACCCCUUGAAUAAGCCACGGCUAACUACGUGCCAGCAGCCGCGGUAAUACGUAGGUGGCAAGCGUUAUCCGGAUUUACUGGGUGUAAAGGGAGCGUAGACGGCCAGACAAGUCAGAAGUGAAAGCCCAGGGCUCAACCCUGGGACUGCUUUUGAAACUGCCGGGCUGGAGUGCAGGAGAGGG
rnacentral:rRNA from 1 species